ACUCCUACGGGAGGCAGCAGUAGGGAAUCUUCCACAAUGGACGAAAGUCUGAUGGAGCAACGCCGCGUGAGUGAAGAAGGGUUUCGGCUCGUAAAGCUCUGUUGGGAGUGAAGAAAGAUAGAGGUAGUAACUGGCCUUUAUUUGACGGUAAUUACUUAGAAAGUCACGGCUAACUACGUGCCAGCAGCCGCGGUAAUACGUAGGGGGCAAGCGUUGUCCGGGGUUAUUGGGCGGAAAGCGGGUGCAGGCGGGUCAAUAA
rnacentral:rRNA from 1 species